UUUAUUAUUUAUGACUGAGGCCAUUUAUCUAUUUAAUCUAUUCUUGAAAUCUGUUAAUCUAUCUCAAUAAUGCUAGUCGGCAGCCCAUUCCACUCAUCCACUACUGUAUUUCAUAACCAGUAUUACCUUGUAUACCUCCUAAUGCUAAAUUUAUCCAGCUUGUUUCCAGUGUUGAGUAUAUUCUCAUUAUCCAUCCAUGGCAUGUGUGUGAUAGCUAACUGAUUGCCUCCUCCUGCUUGACUAACCAUCCUGUGAGGUGGGGAUCCUAGUCCCACACAGUUAGCUCAGGAACCUAACUGGGAUUGAGUUUCAGUUGUUACCUGCUAAACUGUAUGUCACACUGUGAUGACACAUACUGCAGUGUGAUAAAUGGUUCUGACUUUGAAUAAUUAACACCAUCACUGGUUGAAUAAAGUAGAAGAACCUCCGGGACUCACCUAGAAAAUGGCGUUUCAUUACAUUCAACGCUGGUUUUAUGAUAUUUACUUUAUAUUUGUGAAAAAAUAUAAUGGUUUUGGGGAUAUGUUGAGACAGCUGUAGGAUAACAGUACUCAGAACUCCACUCUCAUAUCACCUCUGUUUUCCAUAACUAAUACUAAUACAGUACAGUACAAUCUCAAUUCAACACACUAUAUGGGACCAACCCCAGUGCAUUGGAGCGUUGGAUUCGUUGCAAGAGGUGACCUUCAGAAGGCAUUUGUGUCAGUGUCUUUUCUUUUUCUUUUACACGAUAAAAAUGCAUUAUCAUAUUAUAUACUGUACCUAGAUAUUACUACUCUGCUAAAAAAUACUGUGUUACAUUUGUUAUUUAUCUUAUUGUUGGAGUUAUGUCCAUCGUGAAGUCUCAUGGAGUUGUGAAUGCUGUACAGUAAAUACGUACUG